rnacentral:misc_RNA from 1 species
GGGCAAAGGAAAGCAGUGAAUUUUGACAUUUGGAAGAGGAUAUAUAACACUAAAUUGUAUUCUUAAAUUGGCAUGUCCUACUGUUGCAAUAAAAAACUAUAUAUUACUGAUUGGCUCCUAAAUGUUUGAUGAAAUCUAUGGGGGUAAGCACAUGCAGCCAGUUAGGUGAACUAGAACAAGGCCAACCAUCUGUAUCACAAGCACCUACGCUAAAUCAUAAACAUCAUAUUGAGACAGAUAUACUUCUACAUGCAACAAAACAUCAGACAAAAGCAACAUACUAUACUACACCUGCACAUUGAUCAAUCAUUCUAUGUGCAUCACCCCACCCAAAAAAAGCUUGCUGUAACCUUAUCAGCAGUCUAAGAUGAACUGACCAUUGUGCUUACCUUCUCCAAGAGCACUUUCAUUUCGCAUUCUAACUUGGAUUUCAGAUCUCGGGAUAUUUUUCCCUCUGAUGUCUCCAGCAAUGAUGUUAUCAUCUCAAGCUUCUGCUUUAUAAAGUUCAAUUGUGAUACAUCAUUGCCAGAAGAUUGC